GCGCGAAGCCAGCCCCGAGAUGAGAUUUCCAUAUAGGGUCGUGGGAGACUACCACGUUGAUAGGCUGCAGGUGUAAAGGCAGUAAUGUCAAAGCCGAGCAGUACUAAUAGCCCGAAAGCUUAACGCG
rnacentral:rRNA from 1 species